rnacentral:rRNA from 1 species
AUACGGAGGGAGCUAGCGUUGUUCGGAAUUACUGGGCGUAAAGCGCACGUAGGCGGAUUGGUCAGUUGGAGGUGAAAUCCCAGGGCUCAACCCUGGAACUGCCUUCAAUACUGCCAGUCUAGAGAUCGGAAGAGGUGAGUGGAAUUCCUAGUGUAGAGGUGAAAUUCGUAGAUAUUAGGAGGAACACCAGUGGCGAAGGCGGCUCACUGGUCCGAUACUGACGCUGAGGUGCGAAAGCGUGGGGAGCAAACAGGAUUAGAAACCCUAGUAGUCC